GAUCUUCCUUCACUAAAGCCUUCUUUCGGUUUCUGUUUAGAUGAAGCAGAUGGACAGGGCAGAGUUCCAUGUAUGACUGUGGCUGCCAAGCAGGUGGUCAUUGAAAUAGAGGGCAUGCCAGCUGGGAUAGAGUUGAAAAAGCCCUCCCACUAUGGCAUGGACCAACUAUCUUCCAUUUUGGAGGCAGGCCAUGGCAUCAAGUUCACAAUAACUAGGGGUGGUGCUGGGCCUAGAGCUGGAGAUGGGAGUGGAGCUGGGCCUUGAGAUGGGAGUGGAGAUAGAUAUGGGCCUGGAGCUGGAACAGUGCCUGUAGUUGGUGCUGGGCCUGGGCCUUUAACUGGAGGUUGGGCUGAGGCUGAAGGUUGGACUGCACCAGGACCUGUGUCUAAUUCCCUGGAGACAACCUUGCAGUUGCAAUGAACUCCAUUAUUACUUAGCCACAAUGAAUUGUUUUUUAAUAAAAUAUGUUAUUCCA